rnacentral:rRNA from 1 species
GGAAUUGACGGGUCCCGCACAAGCAGCGGAGCGUGUGGUUUAAUUCGUUGCUACACGAGAACCUUACCUGGGUUUGACAUAGCAGUGGUAGGGAAGAGAAAUCGGACCGACCUUCGGGAGCUGUUACAGGUGUUGCAUGGCUGUCGUCAGCUCGUGUCGUGAGAUGUUCGGUUAAGUCCGCUAACGAGCGCAACCCGCGUUGUGUGUUAUAUGUGUCACACAAUACCGCCGGUAUUAAGCCGGAGGAAGGUGCGGAUGACGUCAAGUCAGCAUGACCUUUAUAUCCAGGGCUACACACACGCUACAAUGGACAGUACAACAGGUUGCCAAGCCGCGAGGCGGAGCCAAUCCUCUAAAGCUGUCCUCAGUUCAGAUUGCAGGCUGCAACUCGCCUGCAUGAAGUUGGAGUUGCUAGUAACCGCAGGUCAGCUAUACUGCGGUGAAUACGUUCCCGGGGAUU